rnacentral:rRNA from 1 species
AAACUUCACAAUGGGCGAAAGCCCGAUGAGGGAAUUCCUAGUGCUAGCACAUUUGUGCUAGCUUUUCCUUAGCGUAGAUAACUAGGGGAAUAAGGGCUGGGUAAGACGGGUGCCAGCCGCCGCGGUAAUACCCGCAGCCCGAGUGGUGGUCGAUUUUAUUGAGUCUAAAACGUUCGUAGCCGGUCUGAUAAAUCCCUGGGUAAAUCGGGUGGCUUAACCAUCCGAAUUCCGGGGAGACUGUCAGGCUUGGGAUCGGGAGAGGUAUGAGGUACUUCAGGGGUAGGGGUAAAAUCCUGUAAUCCUUGGAGGACCACCGGUGGCGAAGGCGUCAUACUAGAACGAAUCCGACGGUGAGGGACGAAGCCCUAGGUCGCAAACGGGAUUAGAUACCCCGGUAGUCUAGGGUGUAAACGCUGCAGACUAGGUGUUGGAGGCCCUACGGGGGCCACCCAGUGCCCGAGAGAAGUUGUUAAGUCUGCUACUUGGGGAGUACGUCCGCAAGGAUGAAACUUAAAGGAAUU